rnacentral:lncRNA from 1 species
UGGAACCAGAGCUACAACUGCCGGCCUUCGCCCCAGCCACAGCAAUGCUGAAUCCAAGCCGCAUCUGUGAUGUACACCAAGCUCACGGCAAUGCCAGAUCCUUCACCCACGGAGCUCGGCCAGGGAUUGAACCUGUGUCCUCAGGGUACUAGUCGAGUGUGUAAUCCACUGAACCACCAAGGGAACUCCCAUCUCCGCUGCCUUCACACACCCCCGCCCCUCACCCCCACACCCACGGCAUGCAGAAGUUCCCGGGCCAGGGUGCGACUGGGCCCUUCGUUUCGGGGCUGUCCCCAGGGCCUCCCAGGGAUGCGGCCGCUGGCCCAGAUCUCCGUGUUCUCUCAUCUGGCUCCUGGGGGGCCCCAGACCUUUCCCAACCCACUUCCCAGGCUUUGUUUCGUGUUCCCACCCUCUGUGUGUGAGAAGGACAGCACGUGUGCUUUCUCUGCUAAAUGCCAGGGCCGCUUCUCAACCCAGACCCCGCCGCCCAUUUGUCGCCGGCGGCCCAGCAGGAGGGGCCGGCCCCUACGUGCGCUCCGGCCCGCCCCUCCUUCCGCCUCAGCAUCCUGCUCGGAACUUUCUCCCGAGGAGAUGCUGUCCAUUAACUCGGACUGAACCCCGGUCUCACGGCUACGUGUCCAAAUGAAAGGGCCGUCGAGUCCGCGAGGAUCUCCCCGCUUCCUGCCAGGAAGAGGUCAGUCUCUUCUUCGCCUUGGACCCGGAGUCGCCUUCCUCCGGGAAGUGGGCGUUGCCGAUUUUACACCGUGGCCGAGGGACCAGUUCAGUCCUGGAGUUUUUACUGGGGACGCUGACUGGGGGGUUUCGACACGUGGUCAGAGGCAGGCUGUCUGCCCUCGGCCCUGCGCCCGUAACUACGUCUGGUUCACGUGCGCACCGUUCAUGCCGUUUGUGGAGCGCGUGUCUCUGAUGUGCGGUCUCCUCUCACCGAUGCCGCUGAGGACAAAGCCGUCUGCAGAGUUUAUUUGUUCUCUCUUAGGCUAAAAACAAAACCAUGGGACUGUGUGUGACCCAGGCCUGCCCUGACACUUGGAUGGGCUCUUGGUCCCCUGCAGAGAGCCCUGGUGGACCCCCUGGGGGUAUCUGAGGGGGGCCCCUUCAUCCAACCCAGGGCCCGGCGCCCUGCAGCUUUGAAAGAGGGAGCUGAGGCCCGCCGCUGUUUGCUGAUCAGAGAUGCAGGAGAGCAGCUCGUUUAUCUCCACUCCGCUCACAGACAUCUCUGGACACAUACGGUUGCUGUUUUGUUUGGACUCAUUUAGAUUUUUUCCCCCUAAUGGUUAAGAGAGAAAACAAGCUUUAAAGAUGACUUAAUCGUUGUCCCAUGUUACUUCAUGGGACAUCACCAGCCUCCCCAGAGUGCCGGGUCGGAGCAGGGCUGGUGCCUCUGGGAGAAGAUCUGGAAUUUGGAACCUUCCAGGCUGGGGGAACAGACCCUGAAGGACGGUGAGUGGGACUUUGGUUUCCCAUCUGCAAAAAUGGGAGUUACUCUCUUCUGGCUGCCAGGCUUUUACAUAAGGAAGAAACAUGAGAGUUCCCGUUGUGGUUCAGCGGGUUUAAGAACCCGACUGGUAUCCAUGAGGAUGUGGGUUCGAUCCCUGGCCUCACUCAUGGGUUCAGGAUCUGGCAUUGCCACAAGCUGCAGUGUAGGUCACGGAUGCGUCUCGGAUUUGGCGUGGCUGUGGCUGUGGCGUAGACUGGUGGCUGCCGCUCUAAUUCAACCCCUCGACUGGGAACUUCCAUGUGCCUCCGGUGUGGCUGGAAAAAGGCAAACAGAGGAAGAAGCGGACAGAUAUGGCACUGCAGAGAAGGACCUGGAUUAUUGCUGUUGUAAUAACUCUGGGCAAUAUAAAAGAGGCGUAAUAGGGCCCACUAUUCCUUCCAGGGACAGUUGCUGUUACCACUCUGGGUGACAGUGAAGAGGACAGGGGUUUGGGGAAGUGAUGUCUGGGGCAGAACUAAGCGUCGGACGGGAGAGGGUUGCCCUUGACUGGUGGUGGUUACUCCAGGAUUAGCUUUUGUCGAUUAUGUGUUACAAAUACAAUCCACGCCCAUUGUAAAAACAUGCAAACAGCAGAAAUAUGUAAAAUAUGUGAAGCAAAAAGUGAUGGGCCGACUUCCUCCGAAGGGGGUCAGCCUGCUGGUGACCAGCCACCUGGAUCCGUUCCAGGCACGCACACGGAGGACAGUUUGUUUUAAUGAAAGUUAGAUCAUACUCCAUGCAUUGUUCUGCAUGACAGUUGCAUUUUUUAUCCUUAAGUGGAAGGAACAUGGGCUGGGAAGUGAGCAGAGGCUUCCGCAUCAGAGCCGAGGGUAAGCCCCCCGUCCCCUGUGUCACUGGCUGCGUGUUUCGGGGCAAAUUGCAUCACUUCUUUGAGUCUCAUCUUCCGAAAUGGGUACUGUGCUAGUUAGCUUUCAGAGCUCUGAUGAAGAUUAGAGGUGGUGUGUGGCAAAUGCCAGGCACUUGCUCGGGAGGAAGGAUCGUGAUUCUUUCUCUCUCUCUUUUUCCUUUUUGGCUGCGCCCAUGGCGACAUGCAGAAGUUCCUGUGCCAGAGAUUGAACCUGAGCUAUAGCAGUGACAAUGCUGGAUCCUUAACCCCUAUGUCACUAGGGAACUCCAUCUUUUUUUUUUAAUUUAUUUUAUUCAAGUAUAGUUGAUUUAGAAUGUUACAGCAAAGUGAUUCCAUUUUACAUAUGAAU